rnacentral:rRNA from 1 species
GUGCCAGUAGCCGCGGUAAUACGUAGGGGGCAAGCGUUGUCCGGAUUUAUUGGGCGUAAAGAGCGUGUAGGCGGCCUGGUAGGUCGGUUGUGAAAACUCGAGGCUUAACCUCGAGACGUCGACCGAAACCACCUGGCUAGAGUCCGGAAGAGGAGAGUGGAAUUCCUGGUGUAGCGGUGAAAUGCGCAGAUAUCAGGAAGAACACCCGUGGCGAAGGCGGCUCUCUGGGACGGUACUGACGCUGAGACGCGAAAGCGUGGGGAGCGAACAGGAUUAGAUACCCUCGUAGUCC